UGAGACUCUUCAUGGAGUCCUUUGUCAAAUGCGAGUGGGUUGGAAGGAAACAUAUUUGCUAUGGUGCUUGACCACUUCAGCAGAUUUCACUUUAACGAAGCAGGCUAAGGCAUCGUCUUUCAGCAACAUGAUGGACUGAAACAGACAGUGGCCUUCAAGUGAUGUUGAGAGGACCACUUGAAUGGCUGAUCCUGAAGAAUGUGAGGUACCAUCUCAGGACCCCAUUAGGGGUCUCUUGUGAUCCAAGAUGGUCUCAGACUAAUUACUUCUCCAAUAAUAACUUUGAACUCUUGACCUGCCUGCCUCCAAGUGCUGGGAUUAUAGUCUCAUUAAUGUG
rnacentral:lncRNA from 1 species